rnacentral:tRNA from 2 species
GGGGUCUUAGCUCAGCUGGGAGAGCAUCUGCCUUACAAGCAGAGGGUCAUAGGUUCGAGCCCUAUAGGCCCCACUA